rnacentral:rRNA from 1 species
UACGUAGGUGGCAAGCGUUGUCCGGAUUUACUGGGCGUAAAGAGCGCGCAGGCGGUCGUUCAAGUCGCGUGUGAAAGCCCCCGGCUCAACUGGGGAGGGUCACGCGAUACUGAUCGACUCGAAGGCAGGAGAGGGAAGUGGAAUUCCCGGUGUAGUGGUGAAAUGCGCAGAUAUCGGGAGGAACACCUGAGGCGAAGGCGGGCUACUGGGCCGAUACGUGACGCUGAUGCGCGAA